rnacentral:rRNA from 1 species
AUUGAACGCUGGCGGCAGGCCUAACACAUGCAAGUCGAGCGAGCGGCGGACGGGUGAGUAAUGCCUAGGAAUCUGCCUGGUAGUGGGGGAUAACUACUGGAAACGGUAGCUAAUACCGCAUACCAUCGGAUGUGCCCAGAUGGGAUUAGCUUGUAGGUGAGGUAACGGCUCACCUAGGCGACGAUCCCUAGCUGGUCUGAGAGGAUGACCAGCCACACUGGAACUGAGACACGGUCCAGACGCCUACGGGAGGAAGCGAUGGGGAAUAGUGCACAAUGGGAGCAAGCCUGAUGCAGCGAUGCCGCGUGUAUGAAGAAGGCCUUCGGGUUGUAAAGUACUUUCAGCGGGGAGGCGUUACCCGCAGAAGAAGCACCGGCUAACUCCGUGCCAGCCGCCGCGGUAAUAC